UACAGAGGUCUCAAGCGUUGUUCGGAUUCAUUGGGCGUAAAGGGUGUGUAGGUGGCGCCGUAAGUCGGGUGUGAAAUUUCGGAGCUUAACUCCGAAACUCAUUCGAUACUGCGGUGCUUGAGGACUGGAGAGGAGACUGGAAUUCAUGGUGUAGCAGUGAAAUGCGUAGAGAUCAUGAGGAAGACCAGUGGCGAAGGCGGGUCUCUGGACAGUUCCUGACACUGAGACACGAAGGCCAGGGGAGCAAACGGG
rnacentral:rRNA from 1 species